CCUACGGGAGGCAGCAGUGGGGGAUAUUGCACAAUGGGGGAAACCCUGAUGCAGCGACGCCGCGUGAGGGAAGAAGUAUUUCGGUAUGUAAAGCUCUAUCAGCAGGGAAGAAAAUGACAGUACCUGACCAAGAAGCCCCGGCUAACUACGUGCCAGCAGCCGCGGUAAUACGUAGGGGGCGAGCGUUAUCCGGAUUUACUGGGUGUAAAGGGAGCGUAGACGGUUAUGUAAGUCUGGAGGGAAAGCCCGGGGCCCAACCCCGGGACUGCUUUGGAAACUGUGUAACUGGAGUGCAGGAGGGGCAGGCGGAAUUCCUGGUGUAGCGGUGAAAUGCGUAGAUAUCAGGAGGAACACCGGCGGCGAAGGCGGCCUGCUGGACUGAAACUGACGUUGAGGCUCGAAAGCGUGGGGAGCAAACAGGAUUAGAUACCCCUGUAGUC
rnacentral:rRNA from 1 species